UAACAAGGAUUCCCUCAGUAACGGCGAGCGAAGUGGGAAGAGCUCGAGCCUGAAAUCACUGGCAGUCACUGCCAGAGAAUUGUGGCCGGGAGAGGCAGCGGUGCCCCAACUGACGCUGUCGAAGUUGACCUGGAAAGGCACGUCAGAGAGGGUGAGAGCCCCGUGUGCGACACUGUCGGGAAGGGCCGCUACUGUCUUCGGAGAGUCGGGUUGUUUGGGAAUGCAGCCCAAAGUGGGUGGUAAACUCCAUCUAAAGCUAAAUACUGGCACGAGACCGAUAGCGAACAAGUACCAUGAGGGAAAGGUGAAAAGUACUUUGAAAAGAGAGUCAAAAAGACCGCAAAACCGUUAGGAGGGAAGCGAAUGCAGCUAAAGUAGUUCCCCUUCAGGCUCAGGAAGUGUCGAAUUGGCUUGCUGGCUGGCGGAAGCCGUGAGGCGCCGGCAGUUGGACGGCGGUCGACUGAUCUGCACUCCUGGGGGGAGCUGGCCAACAACAGUUGCCUCUGGCUCACAAGGGCGGUUGGGCAGGUAGCCUCCUCUUCGAGGUGGAACUUAUAGCCAUCCGUCUGGCAGUCUGGAGACGACUGAGGAGAGUUGUGAACUUUCACACUUGCAGCGCAGGCCCUCCUGGGCCGGACCGCCUCUUUCCGUUUGGGCGCCGCUCCGGGGACUGCUUGCAGUGUCCGCUGACGAACGUCUGCUCGGUCGGGGGAACGGUCACGUCUUGUGCUGCAGUUGUUGGCGUCCAAAUGGCUGCAUCCGACCCGUCUUGAAACACGGACCAAGGAGUGCAACAUGCGUGCGAGUCUUGGGGUGGCAAACCCAUCGGCGCAAUGAAGGUGAAGGCAGAUUUUGGUCUGCUCAGGCAGGAGCCCCUUCCCCGAGGGGCGCACUGUCGACCGAUCCCAGGCUACGCUGUGGCGGGAUUUGAGUAAGAGCGUGCCUGUUGCGACCCGAAAGAUGGUGAACUAUGCCUGAAUAGGGUGAAGCCAGAGGAAACUCUGGUGGAAGCUCGUAGCGAUUCUGACGUGCAAAUCGAUCGUCAAAUUUGGGUAUAGGGGCGAAAGACUAAUCGAACC
rnacentral:rRNA from 1 species